rnacentral:rRNA from 1 species
AACGCGAAGAACCUUACCUACCCUUGACAUCCUCGGAAUCUGCUAGAGAUAGUGGAGUGCCUUCGGGAGCCGAGAGACAGGUGCUGCAUGGCUGUCGCAGCUCGUGUCGUGAGAUGUUGGGUUAAGUCCCGUAACGAGCGCAACCCCUGUCCUUAGUUGCCAACAGGUAGAGCUGGGAACUCUAAGGAGACUGCCGGUGAUAAGCCGGAGGAAGGUGGGGAUGACGUCAAGUCCUCAUGGCCCUUACGGGUAGGGCUACACACGUGCUACAAUGGACGGUACAAAGGGAAGCGAAGCUGUGAAGUGGAGCGAAUCUUAUUAAAGCCGUUCGUAGUCCGGAUUGGAGUCUGCAACUCGACUCCAUGAAGUUGGAAUCGCUAGUAAUCGCGGAUCAGAACGCCGCGGUGAAUACGUUCCCGGGCCUUGUACACACCGGUACUA